GGGGCGGGGCCAAGGCUUGGCGCUCUCGUUCAAACGGCGGAGUGUGCGGGCGGUCCUGGAUGGGAUGUUUCACAGUUUAUUCCGUGACGGCUCCGGGUGGGAUGUCUCACCGUACCCCCGCGACGGCUCCGGCCGCGCUGCGGGCCCGGCCCGGGUGGCACGGAACUAAAAGGUCCCCGGGGCUGGCAGUGCACGGUUCGGGGAGGUUCUGUGGCUCCGCUUUGCAGCGCAGAUGUGACUGCUGUGAAAGAGAAGACUUGUAGCAGAUAUCUCAUAACUGGAAGUCAUUGGGACAACAGCUGCUUUUGUGCUACAGAGCUGAAAAACUUUGUGUGAGUGCCCCUUUGGACUUUGAAGCUGUCUGUUGCUGCUGAGGAAGGCAGGAGAACCACGAGCAUCCCUGUUACAGCUGGAUGCGGCUCGGGGGCAGGUGGCUGUGCGGAGAGAGGGUUGGUUUGGAGAGCUCUGGGUGUUCCUGCUGUGCUAAUGCCUCUUGUAACGGAAGUCUCCUCUACUGCUGGUAAAAGAUCUUAUAUGGGAGCUAUUGUUUAAUCACAAAUGCUGAAGUAACGUUGUACUGGGCUUAGGGUGGCUGGAGCUGCACUGAGCUGUCCAGCAUGGCCGCGCUGCUGCCCACCAGCCCACGGUGGGAGCCCAGGAAGCACACUGGUGGGCAUGGCCACCUCUGUCCCCUGCUCAGAGCUGGUAACCCACCUCUUGCAUCUGACGGCUUUAAACGCAAGUGUUAGAGCCCCAGGCUGGGAACUGGGGGGCAGGGGGUGAUUCCUCAGCCUUGUCAUGCUCCUUAUGUGUCCUCCUGCCAGUCAUGAGUUUGUGUCUCAUGUCUUCAGUUGUUUGGCUGUGCGUGAUGUGCUUAAAUACAACCCUUUCUGAAGAUGGAGGGAUUAGGUGCAAGACCAUGGUGGGAUGGGUUUUGGUAUAAAGAGAUCCUAGGCAAGGUUUUCUGACUUUUUUUCUUCCUCUCCUUUCUAUGCAUUUAUGAUGAAAACAAGUGGAUAUUCUGGAUGUAUUUGCUAUGCUGCAUGUCCUGUCGUGGGCUUGUGAGCAGCUGGGUGGGAUGUAAGAGUGCUUGCUCAGUAGGUUUUGUAACAGGUGGGGACACCGCAGGGGACAUCGCGCCUGUGCCUGCCGUGGCGCCCGCGCCGCCACCAGCCCUGCUGCGCCAGCUCUUCUCUGCUGUUUCCGACUAAGCCUCACUUGUGUAACUUCAGCUUUGGGGGCAAUUUGAAAGUUAAAUCAUGUCUGUGGUCCUGUUUACCCACAGCAUCCCCUGAAGUUCCCCACAGACGCUGUUCCACGCUGACCUUCCCGAAUACCUGCUCUCAGGAUCGGCAGCGGCCUGUGCCUCGGACGUGCUUUUUUAGCUCUAUUCAAAACUGUGAUCCCCGUUUGGCUCUUCUUUACCAGGCAAACUUAACAACUUUCUAUUGCUGAUCCUUGAUUUUUUUUUUUUAUCACUCUAAUCUGUAAAUUUGUUCAGUAAUCAUAUUGUGCUUUUUUUCAGGGCAUAGACAAAACUGAUGAGUAACAUAGGGUCAGGCUCUUGAAGGUGGGAUAAGAGAAACCAUUCUCUUUUGUGUUGAUAUUUAAUUGAUAUAAGCUGGAAACAUUUAUUUAGUGUUUGGCCUCAUCUGCAAUUAUGUUUUGAGGCUUAUCUGUCUCUAGCCUACUUGAUGUGUCAUGUUGAUUUUGAGUUUCUUAAUCAAACGUCAUUUUGCAUCAACUGCCUUACAAAAAUCUGCUAUAUCUGUGUUAUUAAUUAGCAAUAAACUUGUAAUUAAAAAUCAAGCUAGUCCAAGAAGAUAUUUUCUGAAAAUUCACAUAAUAUUGUAUUACCCUCUCCAUUUCUUUCUAGCUAUAGUCCUGUAUUGGCCAUUUUGUUACUUUGAGAUCAGUGUCAGACAGACAAGAUCACGGUUACUUGAGUCACCAGACCAAAAAAACCAACCAAACCAAAAAAACACACACAAAAAAACCCCAAAACAACCCAAAACCUGUUGUUGUUUCUCUCUGCCCUCUCAAAUAUCCCGUGUUUUCCAAAGGAUACUAAAAAUGAGCGUUAAUGGUCCAAAGAGCUCUUCAGCUCUUUUCCUCUAAUCAGCAUGGAAAUUGAAACCUAGAUCUUAACUCUUUCCCAUUUGACCUAGUUCAAGCUACUCACUUAAUUUAUAAAUGUCCUGACAGCCUUGUAUGACUUCCUGUGGGACUUCAGCUCGCAUUAAUCUGUUAUCAGCAUGAUGUUUCCUAGAGGUCCCCUGCUUAAUAGGCCAGAUCGACAGCACUAAAUGGUUGGUUUUGACCUUGGAGGCCUUGUCACAGUUUUUGGCCUCUGGCUUUGCUGAGGGUGCAAGAGAAGCUGAAGGUCUGAAUCUCGUUGGGUUAUUAUUUUAGGUGAACUACAUCACUUUGGUUUAUAAUUAAUAUUUUCAUGUUAAUCUUUGCAACUGUGAACUACAGAAAUUCAACAAACUUUUAUAGCUAAAACCUAAUCUAUAGAAAUUGAUCAUGUGAGUAAAGUAUUGUAAUCAAUCCAUCUGAGGCUAAUUGUUUGAUGCCAAUAUCUAGCUCAUAUAGUUCUUAGAUGUCAGAUUGAUUGAAUUGCUGUAAGAGAACUGGUGGGAAUAAUCUUUGGGCAAUAGAGGAAGGUAAUUCACGUUUUGUGUAAUGACUUACGAAAUAAAACUUGUGUUGUCUUAUGUUUA